rnacentral:lncRNA from 1 species
AAAGUGAGGCCACAAAUCCAAAAGGCAACGGAUUUUCAUAUAUUUGGUAAGUAAGAUACUUACGGUGAAAUGUCUCAAUCGAGAUUUUACAAAGUUACUCUUGUUUCAUAUAUCUUGUAUAAGACUCUUCUACGAAGUAAGAUAAGAUUGGCGUGAUUUUUCUCAUCAAAAAUUUCAUACUGCGUAAUAGCAACUGGAUUUUACGAUUCUAAGGGAGUACAGUGCAAUCCUUCUAAAGAAUAUCAUACGGAUUUUUUCCUACUCCGAUCUUGCCGUUAUGUGUUGCCUCAAUUGACGUAUGUUAGAGGGAUUGUCAAGAGAAUCGACUCAGGUAUGUUAAGGCUAUCCCUUCUUUCUUUUUGUCAUGAACUAUACGACACAAGCGAAACGAGCAAAUGCACAACUUUUAUAAAUUACUCUAUUUUUUGACAAGCAUUGCAGUGGUAAUCAUAUUUUAGAAGUUCUUACGGUUUGAGAUUUUUCAUGAGCUAUAAGACUUAUGCAAAAUAAUCCAACUAUAACAUCAGUACUUAGCAGACAUGAAGAUUGUUUUUAUUGCUUUUUCGCAAAGGAAAAUUAAAUCGUUAAUACCUUCUAUACUAUACUCUAUGCACUAGUAGUAAAAGGACGUGUUGUCCUCAGGUUUAUGCACUAUAUGAUUAUAGCACCCUUACAAUACAACAAGAAUAGUCCCAGUACUAAAUUUUUUGGGUCUAAGAAAAACACGUAAGUUGAAAAAGUUUACUUCAUGAUAUUAAUCAGAGGCAUAAUGGUCUUAUGACACUACGAAAGAUUUUAUUGACGUACUUCGCAUGCAUUGCAUUCAUGUACAUUGACAUAUGACCAAAUGACGUUAUAUAUGUGUAUAUAUGUAUAUUAUAUAUAUGGGAUAUGAGAAAAAAUUAUGGCGUUAUAUACGCACCACCACCUGAUCAGCUGGUAUACGUUAAUGAUUUUGCCCACAGUGGCCGAGAUAAUAUGAUGAGAUGCCCUCAGAGGCCUAAUGAUGUUAUGAAACAUGUACCUAUGCACAACAUGACAUUUACACGCAUAUGCAUGCCACUAUAAUUAUUUCAUGAAUUACAGAAUUAUCCAGACUUACAGGUUGAGUCAUUUACUCUAUAUUUCUUCCAUGUCUGUUAUGUACUUAUUUAUGUGCCUUAGAUACUCGGUACUUUAUUCGUACUGACAGUCCCUUUUACCUGGGAACGCUGCGUUUCAUUCCCGUAGAUCCCAAUAGACAGGUUGAGAGCCCUCCAAGUAGGCUAUCAGCUCAGAUGAAGAUGUUGGUGCGCUCCAUCUUCAGAGUUGCUUGUUUGGUUAGUAUGAUUUAGAAGUGUAUUGUUUGGUAUGGCGGGAUUCUGUCCCAAUCUUUAUAAAAAUUAUGUAUUCUUAGAGGCUUGUAGAUAAAUGUCAUGUACGUAAAAGAUUUAUGGCCUUGUCGGCAUAUGUUCAGUAUACGAGUGGUUAUUUUUUCUUAUAGGCCCGUAUGUCUUAUGUAUAAGUUGGUAUCACAUGUUGUAUUCUACUUAUCUCACGCCAGCCUUCUGAAUUAGUUAUCUAUGAUAGUAUAACAUAAAAAGAUAUGUUAUGUUGGCACUCGGUUGAUUAAGGUACCGGGUGUCCGUCACGACCCAUCGGUUUGGGUCGUGACAAAAGUGGUAUCAGAGCAGUUCUGUCCUAGAUAGUAGAGUCUUGCUUAUGGGUAUGUCGUGCACCACACUUAUAAGUAGGAGGCUACAGG